rnacentral:tRNA from 1 species
UGGGGGAUCGUCUAAUGGUAGGACACCGGGUUUUGAUCCCGGCAAUCCAGGUUCGAGCCCUGGUCCCCCAGCCA